GGCUGCCGCCGUUCUGGCUGUGUCAGCCGACGCCGCGCUGGCUGAUGCCUCCCCGGCUUUUGUGGUCGCCGUACCUGCGCUGCUCUCCGCAGAUGCUGCGGAUGAGGCUGCCUGUGUGGCUGAUGCUUCUGCCGCUCCGGCUGCAUUCACUG
rnacentral:misc_RNA from 1 species